rnacentral:lncRNA from 1 species
AAGUAUGUAACAAGCCACUAAUAAUGCUAUUGACAUCUUUCCUGCACAGGGUGUAGGUCUAUCCGUGGAAGGUUCCAGCAUUUGAGAGGCUGCUAUGGAGGGCCUGUUGGUUACAUCAUUGUAGACUUCUGGGAAAUGGAGGAAAGGCUGGAAGUGCCAGACACUGGAGAGAUGAUUCACUGGAGUGUCUUUGGGAUCUCUUUUUGGGGAGAGCAGAUUGGGCAGAAAGUGAAGAAGAUCUGUGAUUGGUGCAUUUAUAGCUUAAUUAAAUAUUCCACGCACAUACGUACCUUCGUGUAUCCAGAGGGUUUGGAAUAGAGAGAAGGAAUACUUCAGGGGCUGGAAAGCAGGAUAGUGGACAUCAAAAUGGUGCUGUCUCAGACGGAGCAGUAUAUGCAGCAG